CGAACGCUGGCGGCGUGCUUAACACAUGCAAGUCGAACGAUGAUGCCAGCUUGCUGGUGGAUUAGUGGCGAACGGGUGAGUAACACGUGAGCAACCUGCCCCUGACUUCGGGAUAACCGCGGGAAACCGUGGCUAAUACCGGAUAUGACGCGCUAUCGCAUGGUGGUGUGUGGAAAGAUUUAUCGGUUGGGGAUGGGCUCGCGGCCUAUCAGCUUGUUGGUGGGGUGAUGGCCUACCAAGGCGACGACGGGUAGCCGGCCUGAGAGGGUGACCGGCCACACUGGGACUGAGACACGGCCCAGACUCCUACGGGAGGCAGCAGUGGGGAAUAUUGCACAAUGGGCGCAAGCCUGAUGCAGCGACGCCGCGUGAGGGAUGACGGCCUUCGGGUUGUAAACCUCUUUCAGUAGGGAAGAAGGCCUUCGGGUUGACGGUACCUGCAGAAGAAGCGCCGGCUAACUACGUG
rnacentral:rRNA from 1 species